rnacentral:rRNA from 1 species
UACGUAGGUGGCAAGCGUUGUCCGGAUUUAUUGGGUUUAAAGGGUGCGUAGGCGGUCUUUUAAGUCAGUGCUGAAAUAUCCCGGCUUAACCGGGAGGGUGGCAUUGAUACUGAAGGACUUGAGUAAAGUUGAGGUAGGCGGAAUUGACGGUGUAGCGGUGAAAUGCUUAGAUAUCGUCAAGAACACCGAUAGUGUAGACAGCUUACUAAGCUUUAACUGACGCUGAGGCACGAAAGCGUGGGGAGCAAACAGG